rnacentral:rRNA from 1 species
UACAGAGGUCUCAAGCGUUGUUCGGAUUCAUUGGGCGUAAAGGGUGCGUAGGCGGCGCGGUAAGUCGGGUGUGAAAUCUCGGAGCUUAACUCCGAAACUGCAUUCGAUACUGCCGUGCUUGAGGACUGGAGAGGAGACUGGAAUUUACGGUGUAGCGGUGAAAUGCGUAGAUAUCGUAAGGAAGACCAGUGGCGAAGGCGGGUCUCUGGACAGUUCCUGACGCUGAGGAGCGAAAGCGUGGGGGAGCGAACAGG